UACAGAGGUCUCAAGCGUUGUUCGGAUUCAUUGGGCGUAAAGGGUGCGUAGGUGGCAGGGUAAGUCGGAUGUGAAAUCCCGGGGCUCAACCUCGGAACUGCAUUCGAUACUGCUUGCUGGAGUACUGGAGAGGAGAUUGGAAUUACGGUGUAGCAGUGAAAUGCGUAGAUAUCGUAAGGAAGACCAGUGGCGAAGGCGGAUCUCUGGACAGUUACUGACACUGAGGCACGAAGGCCAGGGGAGCAAACGGG
rnacentral:rRNA from 1 species